GUAGGAGAGGGUCUCGAACUUCUUGAUGCCCUCAAUCGGCCACACCUGCAUGCACCUGAUCCUGCCGCCAUUGCUGACGUUGCCGAAGCUGGAGUUGCCGGAGCGGCGGGCGACGGGCAUGCCGGCGGUGGACUUGAGCCCCUGGAAGGGAGCGACGGUGGUGGCCGACGACGCCAUCACGGAGGGGGCCAUCUCUGCAGCUCACCAAGCUCUCUCCUUCUUUGCUCGAGUACUUCUUG
rnacentral:misc_RNA from 1 species